rnacentral:tRNA from 1 species
GCCUGAGUGGCUCAGUGGUUGAGCGUCUGCCUUUGGCUCAGGUCGUGGUCCUGGGGUCCUGGAUUCGAGUCCCACAUCAGGCU